rnacentral:rRNA from 1 species
CCUACGGGAGGCUGCAGUGGGGGAUAUUGGACAAUGGGGGAAACCCUGAUCCAGCGACGCCGCGUGAGUGAAGAAGUAUUUCGGUAUGUAAAGCUCUAUCAGCAGGGAAGAAAGAAAUGACGGUACCUGAGUAAGAAGCCCCGGCUAACUACGUGCCAGCAGCCGCGGGAAUACGUAGGGGGCAAGCGUUAUCCGGAAUUACUGGGUGUAAAGGGAGCGUAGACGGUAAUGCAAGUCUGGAGUGAAAGGCGGGGGCCCAACCCCCGGACUGCUCUGGAAACUGUGUAACUGGAGUGCAGGAGAGGCAGGCGGAAUGCCUAGUGUAGCGGUGAAAUGCGUAGAUAUUAGGAGGAACACCAGUGGCGAAGGCGGCCUGCUGGACUGUAACUGACGUUGAGGCUCGAAAGCGUGGGGAGCAAACAGGAUUAGAUACCCUAGUAGUC